AGCCCUGGAUCAGUAUCGUGCACACCUAAUAAGGAAGACACAGGUGGGCGCUCCGAGAACUAACCGAGCGACCAUACACAUCGAGCGCCUUAUCCUUUUCCUUCACAGAAACGUCCAUAUCAUCAUUCGAACCGCCAUCGGAAUUGGAUGUCGAGGGUUGUUUACCCAGUAACACGUGAGAGUCUUUCUUUCCACCCCUAGGAGCACAUAGAGCGCAAAGCAAUAGAAAACAACCAGUCAUGGCCACAAUAACAGGGAUACCGACUGAUUUACAAAAUACGCUCGUCACUUCACUUGGCGCAAAGUCACCACCAGAAGUCUUGCUUGGCGCGGCAUUGAUACAGCUCAGAAGAUGCAAACGGGAGCAGCCACGACUGAUGUAAUCCGAAGAGAAAUGGAUGAUAGCUGAAAUGGGUGAGAAGAAACGGCUAAC
rnacentral:sRNA from 2 species